AGUCAGAGGCGAUGAAGGACGUACUAACUUGCGAUAAGCGCAGAUAAGGCAGUAAGAGCCGUUUGAGUCUGCGAUUUCCGAAUGGGGAAACCCAACUGCAUAAGCAGUUACUGUUAACUGAAUACAUAGGUUAACAGAGCAAACCGGGGGAACUGAAACAUCUAAGUACCCCGAGGAGAAGAAAUCAACCGAGAUUCCGGUAGUAGCGGCGAGCGAACCUGGAUUAGCCCUUAAGCACUCGGUGAAGUAGGUGAACAAGCUGGAAAGCUUGGCGAUACAGGGUGAUAGCCCCGUAACCGACGCUUCAUCGAGCGUGAAAUCGAGUAGGGCGGGACACGUGAUAUCCUGUCUGAAUAUGGGGGGACCAUCCUCCAAGGCUAAAUACUCCUGACUGACCGAUAGUGAACCAGUACCGUGAGGGAAAGGCGAAAAGAACCCCUGUGAGGGGAGUGAAAUAGAACCUGAAACCGUGUACGUACAAGCAGUAGGAGCACCUUCGUGGUGUGACUGCGUACCUUUUGUAUAAUGGGUCAGCGACUUAUAUUCAGUGGCAAGGUUAACCGUAUAGGGGAGCCGUAGCGAAAGCGAGUCUUAACUGGGCGCUCAGUCUCUGGAUAUAGACCCGAAACCGGGUGAUCUAGCCAUGGGCAGGUUGAAGGUUGAGUAACAUCAACUGGAGGACCGAACCGACUAAUGUUGAAAAAUUAGCGGAUGACUUGUGGCUAGGGGUGAAAGGCCAAUCAAACUCGGAGAUAGCUGGUUCUCCCCGAAAGCUAUUUAGGUAGCGCCUCGGACGAAUACUACUGGGGGUAGAGCACUGUUAAGGCUAGGGGGUCAUCCCGACUUACCAACCCUUAGCAAACUCCGAAUACCAGUAAGUACUAUCCGGGAGACACACGGCGGGUGCUAACGUCCGUCGUGGAGAGGGAAACAACCCAGACCGCCAGCUAAGGUCCCAAAGUAUUGCUAAGUGGGAAACGAUGUGGGAAGGCUCAGACAGCUAGGAUGUUGGCUUAGAAGCAGCCAUCAUUUAAAGAAAGCGUAAUAGCUCACUAGUCGAGUCGGCCUGCGCGGAAGAUGUAACGGGGCUAAGCAAUACACCGAAGCUGCGGCAAUAUCUUUUAGAUAUUGGGUAGGGGAGCGUUCUGUAAGCCGUUGAAGGUGAAUCGUAAGGUUUGCUGGAGGUAUCAGAAGUGCGAAUGCUGACAUGAGUAACGACAAAGGGGGUGAAAAACCUCCUCGCCGGAAGACCAAGGGUUCCUGUCCAACGUUAAUCGGGGCAGGGUGAGUCGACCCCUAAGGUGAGGCCGAAAGGCGUAAUCGAUGGGAAACGGGUUAAUAUUCCCGUAUUCUGACUAUUGCGAUGGGGGGACGGAGAAGGCUAGGUGGGCCAGGCGACGGUUGUCCUGGUUCAAGUGCGUAGGCUUGAGAGUUAGGUAAAUCCGGCUCUCUCUAAGGCUGAGACACGACGUCGAGCUGCUACGGCAGUGAAGUCAUUGAUGCCAUGCUUCCAGGAAAAGCCUCUAAGCUUCAGAUAGUCAGGAAUCGUACCCCAAACCGACACAGGUGGUCGGGUAGAGAAUACCAAGGCGCUUGAGAGAACUCGGGUGAAGGAACUAGGCAAAAUGGUACCGUAACUUCGGGAGAAGGUACGCUCUUGAUGGUGAAGUCCCUCGCGGAUGGAGCUGACGAGAGUCGCAGAUACCAGGUGGCUGCAACUGUUUAUUAAAAACACAGCACUGUGCAAAAUCGCAAGAUGACGUAUACGGUGUGACGCCUGCCCGGUGCCGGAAGGUUAAUUGAUGGGGUUAGCGCAAGCGAAGCUCUUGAUCGAAGCCCCGGUAAACGGCGGCCGUAACUAUAACGGUCCUAAGGUAGCGAAAUUCCUUGUCGGGUAAGUUCCGACCUGCACGAAUGGCGUAAUGAUGGCCACGCUGUCUCCACCCGAGACUCAGUGAAAUUGAAAUCGCUGUGAAGAUGCAGUGUACCCGCGGCUAGACGGAAAGACCCCGUGAACCUUUACUACAGCUUGGCACUGAACAUUGAACCUACAUGUGUAGGAUAGGUGGGAGGCUAUGAAGACGUGACGCCAGUUGCGUUGGAGCCGUCCUUGAAAUACCACCCUUGUAUGUUUGAUGUUCUAACUUAGACCCAUUAUCUGGGUUGAGGACAGUGCCUGGUGGGUAGUUUGACUGGGGCGGUCUCCUCCCAAAGAGUAACGGAGGAGCACGAAGGUGGGCUAAUCACGGUUGGACAUCGUGAGGUUAGUGCAAUGGCAUAAGCCCGCUUAACUGCGAGAAUGACGGUUCGAGCAGGUGCGAAAGCAGGUCAUAGUGAUCCGGUGGUUCUGUAUGGAAGGGCCAUCGCUCAACGGAUAAAAGGUACUCCGGGGAUAACAGGCUGAUACCGCCCAAGAGUUCAUAUCGACGGCGGUGUUUGGCACCUCGAUGUCGGCUCAUCACAUCCUGGGGCUGAAGUCGGUCCCAAGGGUAUGGCUGUUCGCCAUUUAAAGUGGUACGCGAGCUGGGUUUAGAACGUCGUGAGACAGUUCGGUCCCUAUCUGCCGUGGGCGUUGGAAGAUUGAAGGGGGCUGCUCCUAGUACGAGAGGACCGGAGUGGACGAACCUCUGGUGUUCGGGUUGUGUCGCCAGACGCAUUGCCCGGUAGCUAAGUUCGGAAUUGAUAAGCGCUGAAAGCAUCUAAGCGCGAAGCGAGCCCUGAGAUGAGUCUUCCCUGACAGUUUAACUGUUCUAAAGGGUUGUUCGAGACUAGAACGUUGAUAGGCAGGGUGUGUAAGCGUUGUGAGGCGUUGAGCUAACCUGUACUAAUUGCCCGUGAGGCUUAACCA
rnacentral:rRNA from 1 species